UACGGGGGGAGCAAGCGUUGUUCGGAUUUACUGGGCGUAAAGGGCGCGUAGGCGGCCACCGCAAGUCGGUUGUGAAAUCUCCGGGCUUAACCCGGAAAGGUCAAUCGAUACUGCAGGGCUAGAGUGCAGAAGGGGCAACUGGAAUUCUCGGUGUAGCGGUGAAAUGCGUAGAUAUCGAGAGGAACACCUGCGGCGAAGGCGGGUUGCUGGGCUGACACUGACGCUGAAGCGCGAAAGCUAGGGGAGCGAACGGG
rnacentral:rRNA from 1 species